GACGAACGCUGGCGGCGUGCCUAAUACAUGCAAGUAGAACGCUGAAGGAGGAGCUUGCUCUUCUGGAUGAGUUGCGAACGGGUGAGUAACGCGUAGGUAACCUGCCUGGUAGCGGGGGAUAACUAUUGGAAACGAUAGCUAAUACCGCAUAAGAGUAGAUGUUGCAUGACAUUUACUUAAAAGGUGCAAUUGCAUCACUACCAGAUGGACCUGCGUUGUAUUAGCUAGUUGGUGGGGUAACGGCUUACCAAGGCGACGAUACAUAGCCGACCUGAGAGGGUGAUCGGCCACCCUGGGACUGAGACACGGCCCAGACUCCUACGGGAGGCAGCAGUAGGGAAUCUUCGGCAAUGGACGGAAGUCUGACCGAGCAACGCCGCGUGAGUGAAGAAGGUUUUCGGAUCGUAAAGCUCUGUUGUAAGAGAAGAACGAGUGUGAGAGUGGAAAGUUCACACUGUGACGGUAUCUUACCAGAAAGGGACGGCUAACUACGUG
rnacentral:rRNA from 1 species